GCAGCCAUCGACGCACCCUGAUCCAGCCAUGCCGCGUGAGUGAUGAAGGCCUUAGGGUUGUAAAGCUCUUUCACCUGGGAAGAUAAUGACGGUACCAGGAGAAGAAGCCCCGGCUAACUCCGUGCCAGCAGCCGCGGUAAUAAACAGCAGCC
rnacentral:rRNA from 1 species